AUCAAGUUGCAGGGGGACUCAUCCGAGUUGAGAAGGUAAAACCUGACCCUUAGAACCUGUCAGUUAACACUGUCGUAGGAAGCAUUCGAUAGCGGUUC
rnacentral:ncRNA from 1 species